GGGGAAUGAAAGUGCUCAGUACCAGCGCUCCGCUCUGCCCUCGGUGCAGCCCGACGUCCUUGCGGUUUGCUGCUCUGCCAAGGAUCGUGUUUAUUCUCGAGUUUCUUCUCUUCCUCCCCACUCUCAGUGGUCCAAGUCCAGACGCCGUUUUCAAGGGGCGUGGCUGGUAGAGGAGAAGGCCGCGUUUCUCUCCCCAGCACAGGUUUCCCAUACAAGAUUAGAGGGGUCAGGAGGGGGCUGGAAUACCACCCGGAAGGAUCCUGAGACUAAAGCCUAUCCCCAAGAUAGCAGAAACGAAACUGUAGGCUGAACACGACGUACAUAGGAAUUGGGACUUGAAGGAAUUGGGACCUGAAUUUCCUCGAAGGAAAAACAAAACAAACAACAGAUGUUGGAUUUCACACAGAGACCAAGAGAGAUCUUCCCUCCACCCCCAAGGAAUUGGGCACCAGCAAGUGCCCUCUGGGACCCAUGUGAUUCGGUUUAAAUGGUGAUCAACAUUGGUCACCACUGUGUCAUCGGUUGCCUCUCCGAAUUCAGCGGGAAUCAAUUCACAAGCAAAGCAGUGAGAGAGAAAUGAGGUCUGGAAAGAAUCUGGAGCUUGGACAGUUUCCAGUGUACGAUAAGGGAGACAAGAAAACACUACGAAGUCCACCUUGGUCCUAUCGAAAGUACACCCCAGGUACAGCUGUGCCGAUAGAACUACAAAGGAUCUGAGCUAGAUGUGUAAAGUGACCCGCACUGAACGAAUUUGGUCCCCUCUCCUAACAACGGAGCCUGACACCACAGACACCACGUUCCUUUCCUCAGUGACUAUCAACCCUCAUCUCGAGAUCACCCUGAUCAAAGCAAAAACAUUGGAAGAGAACACCUGGACGCACCUCAUCUUAUUCAAGAAAAAAUAAAGAAGCAAAGAACCUGUACGGCCAAGUCUGGGUACCCAACCCCUAUGCACUCUUCCCCCAGCCCUGAACCUUCAGCUCCUGGGAUUCCAGGCUGAAGAGGCACGGUUUUGAAUUCUUUGUAGACACCCUAGAUCUAGCCUGGUACCUGGAGUCAGAUCUUGAGGUUUCACUAUAAAAGGAAGUAGCCCUUUCUAGUUGUUUGGCGUUUAAAGAAUUGUUUGAUGUUGCAAAAAAGAAUAGCUGCAAAAAUGAAGCUGUGCUUUCCUCACAGACCUGGGAAAAUGCUUCCCAGUAUUUCCAGUCAGUAGACCAGUUGGUGGCAUAUUUCACAGUCACUUCUAAGUUACAGGUCACUCUCCUAUUUUUUUUUUUAAAUAAAACUUGCCAAAUUCCUAGAAGCCCC
rnacentral:lncRNA from 1 species